CACGCGCACGGGUGAGUAACACGUAUCCAACCUGCCGAUAACUCGGGGAUAGCCUUUCGAAAGAAAGAUUAAUAUCCGAUAGCAUAUCAAGAUCGCAUGAUCUUGAUAUUAAAGAAUUUCGGUUAUCGAUGGGGAUGCGUUCCAUUAGUUAGUUGGCGGGGUAACGGCCCACCAAGACGACGAUGGAUAGGGGUUCUGAGAGGAAGGUCCCCCACAUUGGAACUGAGACACGGUCCAAACUCCUACGGAAGGCAGCAG
rnacentral:rRNA from 1 species